UAACAUAAAAAGAGAAUAGUUGACCAAUAAAAAGUAACUUUAUAAAAUUCAAAAUUGACGCUUAAAUUUCAUAGGUGAAUAAAAUAAUUCCAAUCAGCACGUGAUGUUGGGGUUAAAAAGGGAAGACCGCAACUUCACAACAUCACAUAUCACACUUAAAUGUAGAUAGCUGUUUGGAAUAAAUAAUUGAAACAUCAUUGUAUUUUAUUCACCAGGGUCGCGGAAAGGGAAACAGCAAGACAAGAGCAUCGAAUACAUCUGUUUCUGAUCAACAGUCACAACAGAAAGCCAGAUCAUCAGCCGAUAUCAUCAAUGAACUCAAAACUAUUGGCAUCAUUUCAAAGAAGGCAGGAGGUGUGAAAUUCUCAGUCGAAAUACCAGACGAAAAAUCACGAAAGAAAAAACCAAGACGCCUUCCUGCUAUAAGCUGCCCAGAAAGACAAAAAACACAAAAAGAUACAAGACUUAUACAAGGAAGCCAAUACGACCGAGAGGAAAAAGAUCUCAUGACAGAAAUAAGAAGAAUUGGUGCUAUCGCGGAAAAAGUUAUCAUUGCUAGAAAAAGUGAAGAAAAAAGACAAAGUGUCAUCGCAAGAAGGGAAGAAAUAAUCAAAAGGAAAAUAAAGAAAACAGAAGACAAAUUAAAAAGAG